UGCAAUCAGCCAGGAGGAACUUAUCUGUAAAAUUGUUCAGCUGUGCCAUUUACUGCCCAGUGAGAUCCUACUUUUACCACCUUGCCAAUCAGUGUACCAGUUUUCACAGGAAGCAGUGGACAAGUUGAUGUAUUGUGAAAUUCUUAUCAUGGAGGAGAAUGAGAACAAACAGCCAGCGUGUGACACAUGGCAGAAGAGGUUCGCCAAGGAGCUGACUUGGAAAGUGAUG